UGAAUACGAGACGCUAAGGCGUCGAAGUAGUGUAUGUCAUACUUCCAAGAAAAGCUUGCACUGUCAUAGAUAAAAAACGCCUGUACCAUAACCGACACAGGUGGGUAGGUAGAGUAUACUAAGGGGCGCGAGAUAACUCUCUCUAAGGAACUCGGCAAAAUAACUCCGUAACUUCGGGAGAAGGAGUGCCUUAUUUGUAAGGUUGCAAUAACAAGAUCCAAGCAACUGUUUAUCAAAAACACAGGUCUCCGCUAAGUCGUAAGACGAUGUAUGGGGGCUGACGCCUGCCCAGUGCCAGAAGGUUAAAGAAGUUGGUUAGCAAUUGCGAAGCUGAUAACUGAAGCCCUGGUGAACGGCGGCCGUAACUAUAACGGUCCUAAGGUAGCGAAAUUCCUUGUCGGGUAAGUUCCGACCCGCACGAAAGGCGUAAUGAUUUGGAUACUGUCUCGGAGAGGGGCUCGGUGAAAUAGACUUGUCUGUGAAGAUGCGGACUACCUGCACCAGGACAGAAAGACCCUAUGAAGCUUUACUGUAACUUGAAAUUGAAAUUGGACUUUAUUCGCGCAGUAUAGGUGGGAGGCGUUGAUUAUAAUCUUGUGGGAUUAUUGGAGCCAUCAGUGAGAUACCACUCUUGUAAUGUUAGAUUUCUAACUUUGAAUCAUUAUCUGGUCAAAGAACAGUUUCAGGCGGGCAGUUUGACUGGGGCGGUCGCCUCCUAAACGGUAACGGAGGCGUACAAAGGUUUCCUCUGAACGGUUAGAAAUCGUAUCUAGAGUGUAAAGGCAUAAGGAAGCUUGACUGUGAGACCUACAAGUCGAGCAGGGACGAAAGUCGGUCUUAGUGAUCUGACGGUACUGAGUGGAAAGGCCGUCACUCAACGGAUAAAAGUUACUCUAAGGAUAACAGGCUGAUCUCCCCCAAGAGUUCACAUCGACGGGGAGGUUUGGCACCUCGAUGUCGGCUCAUCGCAUCCUGGGGCGGUAGUACGUCCCAAGGGUUGGGCUGUUCGCCCAUGAAAGCGGUACGCGAGCUGGGUUCAGAACGUCGUGAGACAGUUCGGUCCAUAUCCGGUGUAGGCGUUAGAAUAUUGAGAGGAGCCUUCUUUAGUACGAGAGGACCGAGAAGGACAUACCUCUGGUGUACCAGUUAUCGUGCCAACGGUAAACGCUGGGUAGCUAUGUAUGGAGUGGAUAACCGCUGAAAGCAUCUAAGUGGGAAGCCCACCUCAAGAUAAGUAUUCUCAUC
rnacentral:rRNA from 1 species